rnacentral:pre_miRNA from 1 species
CUAGUACUCCCUCCGUCCGAAAAUACUUGUCAUCAAAAUGGAUAAAAAGGGAUGUAUGUAGAACUAAAAUACAUCUAGAUACAUCCCCUUUUGUUUAUUUUGAUGACAAGUAUUUCCGGACGGAGGGAGUAUAUG